rnacentral:ncRNA from 1 species
AUCCCUCCGCUAAGGAGUCUCUUACGCGGAAACUCAUGGCCGCUAUCAUAGCGAGCCUGAUAGGGCUGAUCGCGCUGUCCGUGUCGACCACGGCUGUCGCAUGUGGAGACACUCGCCACUCAUCCGAUGGCAAGUGAUCUCGCCGCCCGAAGGCGCCGAGUGCGCACAAAAAAAGGCCUUCAUCCGACGAUGAAGGCCUUUUACU